rnacentral:piRNA from 1 species
UCACCCAGAAAAGUGAUGCCCCUGGAAGGAC